rnacentral:rRNA from 1 species
CUAAUACCGCAUAAAACCUAACACCGCAUGGUGUAGGGUUGAAAGAUGGUUUCGGCUAUCACUUUAGGAUGGACCCGCGGUGCAUUAGUUAGUUGGUGAGGUAAAGGCUCACCAAGACCGUGAUGCAUAGCCGACCUGAGAGGGUAAUCGGCCACACUGGGACUGAGACACGGCCCAGACUCCUACGGGAGGCAGCAGUAGGGAAUCUUCCACAAUGGACGAAAGUCUGAUGGAGCAACGCCGCGUGAGUGAAGAAGGUUUUCGGAUCGUAAAACUCUGUUGUUGGAGAAGAAUGUAUCUGAUAGUAACUGAUCAGGUAGUGACGGUAUCCAACCAGAAAGCCACGGCUAACUACGUGCCAGCAGCCGCGGUAAUACGUAGGUGGCAAGCGUUGUCCGGAUUUAUUGGGCGUAAAGCGAGCGCAGGCGGUUUCUUAAGUCUGAUGUGAAAGCCUUCGGCUCAACCGAAGAAGUGCAUCGGAAACUGGGAAACUUGAGUGCAGAAGAGGACAGUGGAACUCCAUGUGUAGCGGUGAAAUGCGUAGAUAUAUGGAAGAACACCAGUGGCGAAGGCGGCUGUCUGGUCUGUAACUGACGCUGAGGCUCGAAAGCAUGGGUAGCAAACAGGAUUAGAUACCCUGGUAGUCCAUGCCGUAAACGAUGAGUGCUAGGUGUUGGAGGGUUUCCGCCCUUCAGUGCCGCAGCUAACGCAUUAAGCACUCCGCCUGGAGAGUACGACCGCAAGGUUGAAACUCAGAGGAAUUGACGGGCGCCCGCACAAGCGGUGGAGCAUGUGGUUUAAUUCGAAGCAACGCGAAGAACCUUACCAGGUCUUGACAUCCUUUGACCACUCUAGAGAUAGAGCUUUCCCUUCGAGGACAAAGUGACAGGUGGUGCAUGGUUGUCGUCAGCU